rnacentral:rRNA from 1 species
UACGGAGGGUGCGAGCGUUGUUCGGAAUCAUUGGGCGUAAAGCGCGUGUAGGCGGCUGGGUAAGUCGGGUGUGAAAGCCCGGGGCUCAACCCCGGAACUGCAUUCGAAACUACCUAGCUGGAGUCUCGGAGAGGAGGGCGGAAUUCCCGGUGUAGAGGUGAAAUUCGUAGAUAUCGGGAGGAACACCAGUGGCGAAGGCGGCCCUCUGGACGAUGACUGACGCUGAGACGCGAAAGCGUGGGUAGCAAACAGG